CGUGGGUAACCUGCCCAAGAGAUCGGGAUAACACCUGGAAACAGAUGCUAAUACCGGAUAACAACAGGUGAUGCCUAUCAACUGUUUAAAAGAUGGUUCUGCUAUCACUCUUGGAUGGACCUGCGGUGCAUUAGCUAGUUGGUAGGGUAACGGCCUACCAAGGCGAUGAUGCAUAGCCGAGUUGAGAGACCGAUCGGCCACAUUGGGACUGAGACACGGCCCAAACUCCUACGGGAGGCAGCAGAG
rnacentral:rRNA from 1 species